GCAAGAUCAAUCAAAUACUAAUCACACAAAAGACAAUGCGAGAUUACACUUGUGUUUGAUUCUGAGUUUUAAUUACUAGCUAACUUCCAACUUAUCUGAUGUGCAUUAUUCAAGCCUGGACCAAUCCUACGUUGCAAUAUAGUCACAUGCCUCAUGUAGAUUAAGAAUCAUGUAACAAUAGAAUUCAGAGACCCAUUUUCAUGCAAAAUUCCAAAUUUAACUAAAGUGGCCCUAAACUAACUAAAGAAAGCCUAUUGCAAAUAGUCAAGCUAAAUUCUGAUUUCAAACUCAGAAUCCAUUUAAAAUCCUUUUAAAACUCAAAGAGUUUAUGCAUGAACAGAGGCACCAUCCAGUUAUAAGCUCUCAAUAGGUCAAGUUAUCAAGUUAUAUAUGGCAAAUAUGAACACAUGAUUGGUAGAGAAAUGGACCUAGCUCACCAAACCUCAAGCAUAACUGAUUUGAACUAGCAAACCUACAAUCCCUAUAGCCACACUUAAAACCAGUCAACCUCACAAUCAAGCUAAAGCAUCAGUGUCUCAGUUCAGACACAUACAUAAGAUAUAGCAUGUUACAUUUGAAACCAGAAAACCAUAUCUAACCUCAAAGAUAAACAUGUAGUAUUAAUUACAUGAUUUGGCUACACAUAAGAAAAGUCAUCUAGGAGAAACAUGAAACAGAAAUAUUCAUAGACCAAAAGAAAUAAAGCAAAGCUAUGAGUAAAUAGCUUAAUGUCAAGCUUCAUAGUUCCAUUUCCGUUUCAUUAUUCAAUAUGGAACAUCACAUUGUACAAGUUUCAAGAACAUGUACCUGGGAAAAUGCCAAAGAAAGAAACAAGAGAGUGAGGGAAACAACAAACAGCAGCAGCAUGAAUCAACUUAAAACCAAGCAACGAAACAAUAUGAAAUUAGCAAAAGCCAGCUUCUAAGUCUCGAACCAGUUCCUAGAUUUUUGAACCCAAAGUUGAACCAUUCUAUUGAACUUUUUAAAUUCUGAUUUUUUUCGAAGGAAUUAGAACUCAAAAAAACCAAGUAGAACUUCCAGCAAUUUUCAGUGCUUGUUAUUUAAGAAGAAAAAAUGCUUAGCCAUUUUUAAUUUUUGUGUUUUUCUUCUCUAAUAUCUGAUUUCAACCUCAAGUAAUGAUGCCUUUGUAUGCAAGCUAUUAGGGCCGCCUAAAAAAAUUAAAUUUGCAUUUAGAACCUUUUGAAAUUUUAAUUUUUGCUUAAAAAUUCCUAGGUUAAUACGCAGAAUUUCAUUUAAGUCCUAAUGGCACAUUCCCAGAAGCUGUCUAAAUCAGUUACUGGGAGAUCCCUUACUUAAAUUUUCUAAUUUACCCCUUAAGCACUCUAUUUUUACUUUAGUGAACCCAAAUAGGUAUGAGUCAAAAUGAUCCUAUGUUUCACAACAACAAAGCCUGGGUUAAUCCCUUCCUUUUGGGUCCAAGUCCAAUUUAGAAAUUCAAUAGAAGAAUCUAAAAGGCAGAACAAAUAAAAAACAAAAGCAAUUCAGAAUCAAACGGAUUUCUCAACCAAAUGGUCUCUAAAUAAAAAUCAAACAAACUAAAAUAAACGAAUCCAAACAGAAUUAAAGAAGUUACUAAUUGACUAUUAGCCUGGAUUAAAGAGACACAUGCAGAAGUGAUUUUGAGAAAAUAGAAGAAAAGAAGAAACAUUGAAAAAGAUAGGGAAAAAAAAUGAAGAAAAAGGGAUACUGAAAAUACCUAUCCAAAACAGGUGAACAAAACUCCUGAAUGACCCUUUGAAGAAUCCAAUUUUGGACCCAAGUAAACCUUAAUCGUGUGUUCUCGAUGAAAACACAUGAGUAAAGUCCAAUUCAAACUCAAAUCUUCGUCCAACUGGCUGAUUUGCAUUUUAUGGGAUUAAGGGUUCCCAUUUUAGAUUUAAGAUUUGAGGGAUUCAAGUCUAAUUAGAGGGAAAACAGAUGUGGAUUUGGAAUGAGUAGGUUGUGGUGGUUAUGUGGUGUUAAUUUGGAGUCGAUUGGUGGUGGCGCCAUAGGCCGGCGAGUGGAGAAUCUAAGGGCGGUGCUAGGGUUUAUUUGGUCUCUUAAUGGAGAGAAUGAGAGACAUAGAACUGGGAUGUGUGAUGUUCAGACAUUUAUAUGGCAAAUGAUAAGGCAGUUCCGAGCUGUUGGAUGAUAAGAAUCCAACGGCCGAGAUCAACAGAAUAAAAAUGGGGUUGUUUGUUUUAUUUGAAUUGGCAGACUGGGUUGGUCAUGGGUUUGGGCUGGCGUUGACCGAGUUUGCUCGGGGACAAGGGGUGUUUGGUCUAGGCUUGG
rnacentral:lncRNA from 1 species